rnacentral:rRNA from 1 species
GACGAACGCUGGCGGCGUGCCUAAUACAUGCAAGUCGAACGCUUCUUUCCUCCCGAGUGCUUGCACUCAAUUGGAAAGAGGAGUGGCGGACGGGUGAGUAACACGUGGGUAACCUACCCAUCAGAGGGGGAUAACACCUGGAAACAGGUGCUAAUACCGCAUAACAGUUUAUGCCGCAUGGCAUAAGAGUGAAAGGCGCUUUCGGGUGUCGCUGAUGGUUGGACCCGCGGUGCAUUAGCUAGUUGGUGAGGUAACGGCUCACCAAGGCGACGAUGCAUAGACGACCUGAGAGGGUGAUCGGCCACACUGGGACUGAGACACGGCCCAGACUCCUACGGGAGGCAGCAGUAGGGAAUCUUCGACAAUGGACGAAAGUCUGACCGAGCAACGCCGCGUGAGUGAAGAAGGUGUUCGGAUCGUAAAACUCUGUUGUUAGAGAAGAACAAGGACGGUAGUAACUGAACGUCCCCUGACGGUAUCUAAACAAAAAGCCACGGCUAACUACGUG